rnacentral:rRNA from 1 species
AGAGUUUGAUCAUGGCUCAGGACGAACGCUGGCGGCGUGCCUAACACAUGCAAGUCGAACGAGAUCCAUCCAGUGGCAACACUGGUGAAGAUCUAGUGGCGAACGGGUGAGUAACACGUGAGGAACCUGCCCCGAUCUCAGGAAUAACAGGUGGAAACACCUGCUAAUACCGGAUGCCUUCUCUGUAUCGCAUGGUACGGAGAAGAAAGAUUCAUCGGAUCGGGAGGGCCUCGCGGCCUAUCAGCUAGUUGGUGGGGUAACGGCCCACCAAGGCUCCGACGGGUAGCUGGUCUGAGAGGACGAUCAGCCACACUGGGACUGAGACACGGCCCAGACUCCUACGGGAGGCAGCAGUGGGGAAUAUUGCACAAUGGGCGAAAGCCUGAUGCAGCGACGCCGCGUGGGGGAUGACGGCCUUCGGGUUGUAAACCCCUUUCAGCAGGGAAGAAGCGAAAGUGACGGUACCUGCAGAAGAGC